AACAUGUCUUUUUGAUUAUAAUUUAAGGUUUAAUCUGCUCAAUGAUUAUUUAAAUUGCCGCAGUAUUUUGACUGUGCAAAGGUAGCAUAAUAAUUAGUUUCUUUAUUGGGAACUGGAAUGAAUGAUUGGACGAGAAAAUUUCUGUCUCUUUAUUAUUUUAAUUGAAUUUUACUUUUAAGUUAAAAGGCUUAAAUUUUAUUAGAGGACGAGAAGACCCUAUAGAGUUUAAUUUUUAUUUAAAUAAUUAUUUUUAGUAUUUAUAUAUAUAUUAUUUAAAUAAAAAUUUAGUUGGGGUGACUAAAAGAUAAGAAUAACUCUUUUAAUUUUUAUCAAUUAUUUUUGAUUAUAAAAUCUUUAUUUUUAAUUUUAAAAUAAAUUACCUUAGGGAUAACAGCGUAAUUCUUUUUUAAAGUUCUUAUUAAAAGAAGAGUUUGCGACCUCGAUGUUGGAUUAAAAUUAAUUUUAGGUGUAGAAGCUUGAAAAUUAAGUCUGUUCGACUUUUAAAAUUUUACAUGAUCUGAGUUUAAACCGGUGUGAGCCAGGUUGGUUUCUAUCCUUAAUUAUAUAUUAUACUUUAGUAC
rnacentral:rRNA from 1 species